ACCCCACGUUCAGUAUUCAAGAAUCUUUAGAUGAAGGAAGAAACAAUGUGCUGCUUCUUAGAGCAGCGAAGGGAUCUUGGAGUUACCAUCUCCCUGAAAGUCACUGGGACUUGGGUUGCCCAAGUGACUUCAGAAAACAGGACUUCAAAGCCUCUCAAAAUUGUAUGGCUGAGAAAAAUAAAUGAAGUCUGUAACUAGCCUAAAAUUUUAAAACAUUUAAUAACUUUUUAUGGAGCGCAUUUCCAUUUAUUAGCCUUAUCUAGCACUUCAAAGGGUGAGAGGUGGUGGUCAGUUUGGCCACUUGUCCCUAAUAUCAACCCUUCCUUCUAAUUUUGUCUCCCACUUGUUGAAUCUUGCCUUCAAGUGCACAUCUGUUUUCUGACACAAAAUGCCUGCUGCAAUGCCUGAGCCCUUUAGAUACUAUAAUAAUAAUAACAAUAAUCAAGAUUCCCAGUGCGCACGGUGUGCAGUGAGGCAACCGAGAGCCCCACCAUGAGCAACUUUGCAGUCUGCUGGCUAAUUGCUGGUGAAGAGGAGGGUGGAGGAAGACCAGCUAUUUCAAGGGGAAGAGGGAAAAGCUCUUGGGAGAAAACAUGAGUGUUUUACAAGGUAGACUUGCUCUCCUCACCUGUGCUUGAUGAAGAUGCUGCAACUGAAUAUCUUUAAGGUAUCUCCUCAGAGAAAUCAGAUGGACUUUGAGGUCCUUUUCUGCUGUUAGAGGAUUGGGAUAGACCUUGAAAUGCUCUGAAGCACCAGCAGAAAUCGUGGAGCAGCAAAUGCACGAGGAUUGCCAUCUGUUAGGAAAGGCCAGGAGAUGGAAACAGGCUGAGCAGGGGCCGGGUCCUGAAACCCUCCAGUUUAUUGCCCAGCACAUGAUUGGUUGACCCAACACAGCUAAGAAAUCCCAUGUGGAAAUCCAGCAGCCUGAGACACUGGCUGAAAGGGACCAUCCUGGUCACACGUACAGCUCUGUCUUAUUUUCAGGGAACUGGGCUACAUAUUUCAUUCAGAAGGGAGAGCUGGAAGAGAGCCAGGUUUUGUUUAAUUUUGUUUUAUGGGAAAAAUCUGCAAUUUCAGAAUUUGUUUUCCACUCUGAAUCAGGUAAUACAUUUGUUAUCAAUUGCAAUUCAAAAAUUGUUUAACUUCAGGUACAUCAAAGUGUUUGCUUUCUGUGAAAUCUGAUGCAGGCCUUUAUACAUUACCUUUUUCUGUAAGACCGAAAGACAUUGAACCAAAACAUUUGAAAACAGGAACUAAAAUUUCUCCUUCUCUCUAGUUUUUUGAUUUGAACAAACUUGUGUCCAAUUCAAAGCAUUUCUGCAAGUAAAUUUGCUUCUGAACGCAUUAACACUUGCGAGCAGAAAAUCGCCAGUCCCCAAGUUUCCCAUCCCUGGUGGUGUUUUCACAGCACUACUAGAAAAGCCCCAAAGCACCCAAAGCCACAGCAGCUGGGGACAUGGAGUCACUCACUUUGGCAGCAGCUUUCGCAAAUGGUCCCCAUACUCUGCCACAGGCUCUGGUUGGGACACACUGGGAUCACCUGGGAUACUCUGAGCAGCCACCUGAGCAUCCACCCAGACCCUGCUGGCGGGACACACGCAGCCAGUUGGUUUCUGUCACCACAGUGAGAGCUGGAGCUGCACGGGCAGCUCCUCUGCACAGAACAAUGUCCUGCCCGGCAUUUUCUUGUCUUAACAAGUUACCCCAAAGCGCCCCUAAAAUAUUCAGUUUGCUGGAAGGCACUGAGUGAAUGUGAAGAUGUAGGAUGACAUUUGCGGAGCUGAUCAGAAAUCUGUUCCUGCAAGAAGUCACAGCGUGAAGCGGCAUGGCGGCAAAAGGUGAAAGGGAGAUGAAGGCACGACAAAGCAAAUGUUUUGCAGUGACACGUUGUCCUGGAGUGUAAAUUAGGAGCUGGAAGGGCUCAGCAACAGCCCAGCAUGCGCCGACAGCGGGGUCUGCGUCUGCAUGGGGAGCCAGAAGCGACAGCCCAGCCUGCAGGACCAGCUGCCAAAGCGAUGCUAAAAGGCUCGUUUCCCUCAUUCUGGGCUCCACACACUUGAUGUCCUCAUUCUACCUCUGGAGACCCAUCCUCAUGGACCCACUUCCAUGUCACCCAUUUCUACAUCUCUGGAGAGCUUCCAUCGCUUUCCUGCUGGAGCACUCAGCCACAGGGGAGAAGAGAUUUCCAAAGUCCAGAAAUGAUCUCAGGGAGAAGAAAGGAAAUGCUGAGUGUUGGCUACUUGGCAAAGGCUGUGUGUUCGCUGCUGCUGCUGUGGAAAAUGCCUGGGAGGCACCAUUAAGUUGUUGCUCUUCGCUACAGGCUGGCUUGUGUCCUCACUGCCAAGGGCCAGCACUCUGAAGGGCAAUGGUUACCUUCAUGCUGUGCACCACUUGGGUCUCCUCUCAGCUCCCUGCAGAGUACUACAGACCCUGGAUCAGUAAUUAUUUAUCAGAAGCUUUUUAAAUUACUUUUAAAUUCUCCAAGCAAUGAAAGGGCAGCCUGCCAGCAUUCUGGUUUUGCAGCAAGAGGUAAAGGUGUUUUGGGUUCUGCAGUUCAGCAUGGAGGUCGGUGAACAUAAGAUCUCCUGGGAUGGUUGGAGGACCAUCCAGUGUAGAGUCUGGCCCAGCUCAUGACAGGUUCUUCUGUCUGGGCAGCCCUGGAAAAAAGCACCGUCAGUCGUGCCGAGGUUUCAUCCCAAGAGAAACCAGUUGGUUUGCUCCAGAGCAGAGACAGGAGGGAACUCAUAUGCAUGCCGCGGAGACAGCCAACGAGCAGAGCCCCAGGGGAACAGAGGCAGCCAAAUUGGCUGUGCAGACGAAAGGUGCUUUCAUACCCCCACCGUGGUCUCACCGAGCGAGAUGCUGAACACAGGACAAGCAACAGGAUUUCUCCUCACCCAUCACCCGCAGGAUCAGCAGGGCCGGUCCUUGCUGGCCGCUGUGACAGCCAUCGGUCUGGAGGUGUCUCCAGCAUGUGGCUUUUCAGCCACCGUGAACUCCCAGAGCUUUGCUACAUGAGGACAAUCUUUGAGCCUUGGCUCUGCAAUUUUUAAAAGUUAAUUAGACUAAACAGCAGUCCUUUCUCUCUUCCACUUGCCCUAGCCUUUGAUAUUGGGCCUGUAUAGGGGUUUAGGCUCAGUUUUAACCUUAGGAUGCAAGAAAAAAACAAAUUAAAUGGCACACAACUGGCUGAUGUCAAUAGCUCCCCCUCCCAUUUACAGUCCAUGUUUUCAAUAACGCAGCUCUAGCUGAAAAGCAGUAUGAGACAGCAUUAUUCUCCAUCAUACAUUGUCUAUUUACAGCAAUACAUGAAAAUGUUUACUUUAAAAUAUAAAUGUAAUUAUAAAGGUAUAAUUACAGAUAAGACUCUGCCUCUUUGAGCUGCUUCAAAUUAUAGCUUCCAAUUAUAACAAUAAAACAGGAUCAAAUUAAUGACUUUGAUUAACUUCAUUAUGGAGAGGAGCGAAUGCCGCUCGGCACAGGGUAAGUUUACGCUGCCUGACCUCAUUUCAUCCCUGCUCUUCCCUGGGAACAGAGGAGCGCCCGAUAGCGCAUCAGGUGAGCCGUUCCUCCCAAAGACGUUGCUAAGCAAUCAGCUGCAGGGUUAUAAAUGCUGAGUGCUUAAUAUGCGGUGCAUAAGAAUAGAGAUUAACUUAAUUUUUUUUCCUUUCCAGAUAUUAAGGGAAAUAGGACAGCUCAACUAAAACGCACUGAAAGAGUUUGAAAUCAGGAAUGAACCCAGGUUUAAAGCAGUCAUCAGUGUUUGUGUACAGGCUGAACCGAUUUAUCAAGAGUGUUAUGUGCUGAGUUGCAAAACCUUGCUAUAUUAGCGAUUUAACAGGAGGAACAAUUUGAUUUGUCAUUACUAAUAGGGAUAUAACUAAAUUAGUCUCCCACGUACUUUAUGCUGAUGAGGUCAUGCUUAGAUUUCCCUUUGUAGAUUUACAUUCUCACUAGCUUUAAUCAUAGCUAAGGAACAUAUCCUAUGAGUAACACUGUUAUGAAAUGCUCAAGUAUUUUCAGAGGGGUUUAGAAACCCAAGAAAAUCAUAGAAGUCAAAAUCAAAGAUAAGCUUUAAUAUUCAGCCUCAUGUUGUACAUUUGAUUAAAUAUUAAUUCACAGCAAAGUGCUGGGUACUUACAGCCAAGCUCUCUUGACCCAUUUGAAAUGCAUGGUCACGUAUAUAAACCUGGCAUUUGAAAAAGGACAGGUCAAACCCCUAAAUCCCACUUAAAUCUUUCCUACAGUUCUCGCUUAAUUAGUGGCCUAACCCUAUGCUUAUAAGUUGUUGACUUGAUCACAGUUGUGUAGUUAAGAAAAUUUUGCUGUAAGAUAGGUGUGUGGGCUUUUGAAAAAUGCAGAGUGUCUCUGUAAUAUUUUAUUAUUAUUUUUGGUGGGUGGUUUUUUGGCUGGUUGGUUGGUUGUGGGGUUUUUUGUUGUAUUGUUGGGGGCUUUUGGGUUUGCUUGGUGGUUGUUCUUUGUUUUGGUGGUUUUUGUGUUUGUUUGGUUUUGGCAAAGCAACAAGGGAUGAAAGGCUGGCAAUCCCUAACAUUCUGUGAUUCACCACCAACGGCAGAACUGCCAUCUGGAUGGGAACAUUUGGAAUUGGGCUGCUUUCUAGUUAAAAAGAGCAAAAAUGUAAAAACCACAGGGCAGAGCACCUUCCUUAGGGGGAUAUGAUGUGGGAGAAGAAGCACGGAACUUGUAGCAGAACCUGAGAUGCUGAAAUGUCCAAACUACCGCAACAUACCUUGGCAUCUUCAUGAAGGAAGAAUGUUUUUAUUAUGAGGGUGGUGAGGCACUGAAAUGUCUUGCAUUGAAAUUUCUUGAAGAUCUUUGCUUGUGCAAAACUGUUAAUAACAUUUCAUUUGGUAUCAGUACUUCAAUCUCCCCACUUAAAUGCCACAUGAAUUUAGAGCUCCCCUGGCUGCAUGAGUUCACAGCAUUAGUUAACUUCUUCUGCUGGAAGUCUUAAAUAUGAUUUAGAAAUAAUUCUGUGCAUUGUGACAGAAACAAAAGCUCAUCCUUAGUUAAAUGUAUAAAUGAAAGUAUUUCAAUCCUUAGACUAACCAGAAUUCAGACACCAGCUCUUUGCAUUGCUUUUUCACUGCGUUGAUGCAAAAUUUCAAGUUCUGUAUGCUUAGCCCACCAAGUCUCCUUUCUGGUGAGAAAACGGGGCAUUUACCUGAAUGCUAUAAAUCAUCUGUGAGAAAUGAACUAGGCAGAUCCUUGAAACAUUUUGAUUUUGAUCCUUCUUUUAGGAACAGAAUCAUAGAAUGGUUUGGAUUGGAAGGGACCUUAAAGUUCAUCUAGUUUGAACGCCCUGCCAUGAGCAGGGACAUCUUCCAGUAGACCAGGUUGCUCGAAGCUCCAUCCAACCUGUCCUUGAACACUUCUAGGUAUGGGGCAUCCACAACUUCUCUGGGAAACCUGUUCAAGUGCCUCACCACCCUCAUACUAAAAAAUUCUUCCAUAUAUUUGACCUAAAUCUGUCCUCUUUCAGUUUAAAGAGGUUACCCCUUGUCCUAUCACUACCUGCCCUUGUAAAAAGUCCCUUUCCAGCUUUGUUGUAUGGCCCCUUUGGGUACUGGAAGGCUCCUAUAAAGUCUCCUCAGAGCCUUCUCUUCUCCGGGCUGAAGAACUCCAACUGUCUCAGCUUGUCUUCAUAGGAGAGGCAAUCCAGACCUCUGAUCAUCUUCAUAGCCUCCUCUGGACCCUCCUCCAGGCACUACAACAGGUUCAUGUCCCUCUUAUGUUGGAGGCCCCAGAGCUGGAUGCAGUACUCCAGGUGGGGUUCCAUGAAGGAGGAAUAGAUGGGGAGAAUCACCUCCCUUGGCCUGCUGGUCAUACUUCUUUUAAUACAGCCCAGGAUAUGGUUGGCUUUCUGGGCUGCUCUCAAUCCAUUCUAUGCCCAGUCUGUAUUUGUGCUUGGGAUUGCCUGAGCAUUUGGCCUUGUUGAACUUCACAAGGUUCACAUGGGUCUACCUCUCAAGCCUGUCAAGGUCCCUCUGCAUGGGGACCCUUCCCUCCAGUGUCGACCACGCCACACAGCUUGGUGUUGUCGGCAGCCUUGCUCAGGGUGCACUUGAUCUCACUGUCCAUGUCACUGACAAAGAUGUUAAAUAAUACUGGCCCCCAUACCGAUCCCUGAGAGACCCCACUUGUCACUGCUCUCCACUCAUACAUUGAGCUAUUGACCACAACUCUUUGAGUGCAACCAUCCAGCCAAUUCCCGAUCUACUGAGUGGUCCAUCCAUCACAUCUGUGUCUCUCCAAAUUAAAGACAAGGAUGUUGUGUGCCAAACACUUUGCACAAGUCCAGGUAGAUGAUGUCAGUUGCUCUUCCCCCAUCCAGCAAUGCUGUAACCCCAUCAUAGAAGGCCACCACAUUUUUCAGGCACAAUUUGUCAUUAGUGAAGCCAUGUUGGCUGUCACCAGUCGCUUUCUGUGAUAGAAAUAGAAUAGCUUCCAAUAGAAACUGAGCUGCAAAUUUUGGGAACAUCCGAAUUCAUUACUGCUGUCAACUUCUAAAUGGUUUAUUACUAUUUUAAACACCUUCAGGAAGUCCUUCAAGGUGUUAUUGAUUGGAUCCACCAAGGGGUCAAGCUGAAGUUUUGCAAAGAGCCUCUCAGCUGCUACCCAUAGAUUUCUGAGUUCUCCCCAAGAACAUGCUUGUGGGUGCCCAGCCACCUAAAUCUUGGUGGUGCAGAGGUGGCUGGAGCCUGAGCUUUUCACCUCUCUUCCAAAUAGCUGUGUAGGUAUGGUCCAAGCACAGAAGGGUGAAGAUGGUAUCUUUACCACCCAGUGCCAGAAGAUGACUUUUUGCUGGUGGUGGUGGUCACUUCUAUGUAGUACUCAGGUCUAUACCUCUUGGGUUUUGUUUUGGUUUUAAUCUAAUUACAUUUCUGUGUUAUAUUUCCAGGUUCCUGUCCAUAAUCAGUCAACUGAAUGGCACAAUGACUAAGCUCUGUACUUUGUUUCAUGCUCAUCCUUCUCCUCCCAUGAUUCUUGCCAGCCUGGCCCUGGGCAGAACCAAGGCUGCUGUGAAAGUUGUGGGGCCAGAGCUGCAACCCUCCAACCCUGUGCAUGGGCCAGUAAGGCCCAGAGCCCACAUCUUGUUUGGGAUGAGUUCUGCAGGUGCUGGACCAAUGUAUGGAUGAAGGGAGCAUCACCACGAACACACAUGGCACCAUCCUACCACCGUGCUGCUAAGCCUCAGGGUCUGCUUUGGUCUCCCGUGGAGCUGAUGUGGAGCUACCAAGAACAUCUUCAAGGCUCACUGAAUGGCCAGGAGAAAGCCUAUAGAAAUUGUGUGUGCUCACCGAGAGCAGAAAAGUGGCAACAGGAGACCAAAUAUUAUCCUUACAGGAAAAAAAAAUGGAAGGUAAGUCCAUUUUAGUGAGUAAAUUAACCCCUUACAUGAGGCCAUGAGACUUUGAAAAGCCUGGUUCAGGCCCUGCUCAUGUCAAUGAUGAGGCAUGAGAGCACAUGAGGGCAGCUUUAGUAGCUGCCUCAGCACUUUGCAUGACUGGCAGCCUGGAGCCCAGCGCUGACACACUUACCUGAUCUCAAGGUUAUGGUUUCUUCUUUGGGGCAGCCAACUCAAUACACAAUACAUGGAUCUGAUUUUCAAAGGGCAAACACCCCACCCAGUCUGGGAACUGAAGACUUUGUAAGCCAUGUCCCAUUAGACAGGUGGAAAUCAAUGCCCGCUUGGUCAUUAGUCAUUCUGGAAACCUCUGCCUCGGUGAGUCAGCUGAGGUGCCUGGCACACUUGGCAAACUGGAAGGGAAUCUGGUUUUGAGAUUUUUUCUUCCAACACCCCAAAGUUUCCAACCUGAGCUGCACAGGCAGCAAUCAGCCUCCCUGGGGAACUGCCUGGCCAGGAACACAACACAAAACGCAUUUCUGGUCUCACCAUGUCACAUCUAACAUGUCAUCAGCUCUCUCAAGAAAAACAGCAAACAAGCAAAUCUCACCAAAGCAAGUUAUUUGAUGAUCUUCUGCUAAAUGCACAAGCCCAAGGGGAAAAACAAACAAACAAGAAUUCCAAAAAGCAGAAUUUGCUGUCUACCCGCCUUUCACUGGAAUAUCUCCAAGAAGGGCAGCACCAAGGGCAUUUGUGCACAAACACACCAAACACAAGCAACAUUGGUUGCAGUUGGAUCAGAAACAGCGUUGCUAUUGAUGCAGUUCCUCUAAGCUUUAAGUCAGCCAUGAUGUGUCUAGCCUGGAUUUCCAUUCUUCACUUGACCAUUCCAGAAAAUCCUCAGGUCUGCACAUUUCCAACAGGCAUAGCCUGCUGCAGACUGCAAAAGAACGAUCAGCAGCACAGCUCUUCUUAAUAGUACAACCCAGACUGCUGUGGAUGGAUGCAACAUGUAAGGGUGUCUGUGACUGCUUAGCAUUGACUUUGCUUGCCCUAGCUGGACACCCUCAAGAACUUCAGCCUUCCCAGAUUUAAGCCACCAACACAAGUCUGUCUGCAGUCAGUGCAUCCUCCCAGGGCUAGAGCAUCCCCAUGUCAGCAACCAUUUUACAUCCUCACUCAACGGGUUUUUGUCAAUUCUAUGGCCAACUUGCGCUAUGAAUGUACAGUUGGUCUUUCAGGUCUCCACAUGUGAACAGUGUUGAUAUAAAACUGACUUUGCUACAAAAGACACAGCAGGUCAAUGGAAAUAAAACUUUCAACACUUACCUGCUGAGUGCACACUAAUCAUGGUUUAUAACCGUUGUGUUUCUGUGAAUCAAGGGAUAUGACCCAGGCACUUGGGAGGGGAGAGCAGCCUGUCAGCAUAACUGUUGCCUUAGUUUCAUUGAGAUACAACAGCAAGUGUCAAUUUCCAUAGUACAAGAGCUUCUGAUCGCCCAGCAGAACUGCUUAGGUGAGUACCAAAGCAUAAGAGCAAGCUGAUAAAACCCUGAAAAGUGGAGGAGCUCAACACCUCAGGGGUCUCAUUACACUGGACCAUCCAAUGGUAGAACUGGCUGGGAGCCAUGACAGAGCUGACUCUCCCUCAUCAUGAAUGGCUGCAAAGCCAAAAGCUGUAAAUUCUAGAGAUCCCAGUACUCGUGGGGGUGGUCUCUUGGGCAUCACACUUGGGAGGAUACAAUUGUUAUCAGGCAGUUUUAUGUCAUUAUAAGGUUUCCACCACCACUGGCUAUAGUGAGCUCCAAGGCCUUACCACAGCCUCACCAAGAUCAAGGAAUCAGUUCCUCUCUGGAUAUAAUGAUGCCAUGCAGGUCAGAGCUGCUGCACUUGUUGCUUUGCUUGUCUGCUGUGCUGGCUGCUGAGGGACAUGGGAACAGCUCUUUAAAUAUCAUGAAGUCUCUAGCACUGCUCAAAAGCAGUCCAGCUCUUUGUGCUGUAAUAUAGCUCAAUUUUAUUUUAUUUUUAUGAUCCAUAGGAUUCACUUGGCAAAGAGACUGUCCCACUUGGAGGAUAUCAAGGAGGUCCCCAGGAGAUUGCUUCCCCAGAGGGGUACAUUUGUAUGGUUACCUGUGAAAUGUGCCUUCCUCUUGUCAUGGGGCAGGGAAAGUAGGUGGUGUGCCCCUGAGACAUGAAAAGGAUAUUAUUUAAUAAAGGAAGGAAACCAUGACAGCUAGAACAAGCCUUAUCCCAGCCUUCUCCUAGGGGUAUGCCCAGCUCCACACUGCAUCAGGCUCUUACUAUGUCACAGGGAUAGAGCAGCAGAAGGAUGAAAAAAAGGUUUGGUCAAAAGGACCUAACGCAGAGGACCAUGGUUGUCCAUCUCAGGAAAGGACGGGGAUGUGAUGAGAGCGCCACUGUCUGCCACCCCACAGUGGAAUUUUGCUUGUGGUGUGAACCAUCUGCCUGAGUGCUGCGGAACAGAUCGCUCAAGGUUAAAUUGGAUUAAACUGUUACAGCUCCACUUUCCCACGUGUGGUUUAAAUUUAUAAGCUAUAAAUUUCAUGGUGAGUUAUUAAAACCUUCUUGGCAAGGAGAACUCAUCUCUGAAAGAAAAAAGCCAAAUUCCUCCAAGUUUGCAAACCCACAGGGAGGACUUAAGUCAAGUUAACAGGGAGAUUUCCAAGUGGAGGGGAAGGAAGAGCUGAGAUAUUUAAUCAGCAGUAUGUGGGAACAGGAGCCCUGUGGAGCAGCCUGGUUCUGCUCUGCUGUGAUAGCCACUCACCAGGUUUCUGUGGUCAGCACAUUGGUGCCAUGUCUUGUGCCAGCAGCACUGAUGCUUCUGGGGUAGAAGCUGAGCACCGCACACUAUGGAACAUUUAGAGACAGUAGUGCAUUCUGGAAUAGACGUAUGGAGAUUUUUGUAAACAGUUGUCAGUGCAAAUGAACAAAUAAGCAGCAUGGGAGACCUUGAAAUGUCAUUCUUCUGAGAAGUCCCAUCCUUCCAGUUUCUCCUGGUAUCACCCAGCUAUGUGGUGAUCUUUGCAUGGGAUGGGUGUAAAAUGUCAUACUGAGUUUCAGUAGGAGCCACACAAAGAUGAUCACAAGUAUCAUGCACAGGGUUGGCUGGUUCUGUGUGGCUACCGCUCCUUGCCAGCAUGGGGCAGCCCUCCAAGAGGAACAUCUUGCCCUAUUGCUCCA